rnacentral:rRNA from 1 species
UACGUAGGGUGCAAGCGUUGUCCGGAAUUAUUGGGCGUAAAGAGCUCGUAGGCGGUUUGUCGCGUCUGCUGUGAAAACUCGGGGCUCAACUCCGAGCUUGCAGUGGGUACGGGCAGACUAGAGUGCGGUAGGGGAGACUGGAAUUCCUGGUGUAGCGGUGGAAUGCGCAGAUAUCAGGAGGAACACCGGUGGCGAAGGCGGGUCUCUGGGCCGUAACUGACGCCGAGGAGCGAAAGCAUGGGGAGCGAACGAGG